GAUGAACGCUGGCGGCGUGCCUAAUACAUGCAAGUCGAGCGAACAGACGAGGAGCUUGCUCCUCUGACGUUAGCGGCGGACGGGUGAGGAACACGUGGAUAACCUACCUAUAAGACUGGGAUAACUUCGGGAAACCUGAUCUAAUACCGGAUAAUAUAUUGAACCGCAUGGUCCAAUAGUGAAAGACGGUUUUGCUGUCACUUAUAGAUGGAUCCGCGCCGCAUUAGCUAGUUGGUAAGGUAACGGCUUACCAAGGCAACGAUGCGUAGCCGACCUGAGAGGGUGAUCGGCCACACUGGAACUGAGACACGGUCCAGACUCCUACGGGAGGCAGCAGUAGGGAAUCUUCCGCAAAGGGAGAAAGCCUGACGGAGCAACGCCGCGUGAGUGAUGAAGGUCUUCGGAUCGUAAAACUCUGUUAUUAGGGAAGAACAAAUGUGUAAGUAACUAUGCACGUCUUGACGGUACCUAAUCAGAAAGCCACGGCUAACUACGUG
rnacentral:rRNA from 1 species